ensembl:snRNA U4 U4 spliceosomal RNA
AGUUUUACACAGUGGCUGUAUCAUAGUCAAUGAGGUUUAUCUGAGGCGCAGUUAUUGCUAAUUGAAAACUCUUCCCAAUUGUUUCAGUAAGACUUCAGGUUGAGUUUGGGAUAGUUGUGCAAAGAGGCCAUCAGUGAGCCUU